rnacentral:rRNA from 1 species
CCCUACGGGGCGCAGCAGGCGCGAAAACUUUACAAUGCGGGAAACCGUGAUAAGGGAACACCGAGUGCCAGCAUCAUAUGCUGGCUGUCCAGAUGUGUAAACUACAUCUGUUAGCAAGGGCCGGGCAAGACCGGUGCCAGCCGCCGCGGUAACACCGGCGGCCCGAGUGGUGACCGUUAUUAUUGGGUCUAAAGGGUCCGUAGCCGGUUUGGUCAGUCCUCCGGGAAAUCUGAUAGCUUAACUGUUAGGCUUUCGGGGGAUACUGCCAGGCUUGGAACCGGGAGAGGUAAGAGGUACUACAGGGGUAGGAGUGAAAUCUUGUAAUCCCUGUGAGACCACCUGUGGCGAAGGCGUCUUACCAGAACGGGUUCGACGGUGAGGGACGAAAGCUGGGGGCACGAACCGGAUUAGAUACCCGGGUAGUCCCAGCCGUAAACUAUGCUCGCUGGGUGUCAGGCAUGGCGCGACCGUGUCUGGUGCCGCAGGGAAGCCGUGAAGCGAGCCACCUGGGAAGUACGGCCGCAAGGCUGAAACUUAAAGGAAUUGGCGGGGGAGCACAACAACGGGUGGAGCCUGCGGUUUAAUUGGACUCAACGCCGGACAACUCACCGGGAACGACA